rnacentral:rRNA from 1 species
AACGAACGCUGGCGGCGUGCCUAACACAUGCAACUCGAACGAGAAGUACGUAGCAAUACGUAUUGUAAAGUGGCGCACGGGUGAGUAACACGUGGGUAAUCUGCCCUUGAGUUUGGGAUAACCCCGCGAAAGCGGGGCUAAUACCGAAUAAGACCACGGGGACCAAAGUCCCUGAGGUAGAAGACGGCCUCUAUUCAUAAGCUGUCACUUGAGGAUGAGCCCGCGGCCCAUUAGCUAGUUGGUAGGGUAACGGCCUACCAAGGCGAUGAUGGGUAGCUGGUCUGAGAGGACGAUCAGCCACACUGGAACUGAGACACGGUCCAGACUCCUACGGGAGGCAGCAGCGGGGAAUAUUGCGCAAUGGGCGAAAGCCUGACGCAGCAACGCCGCGUGGGGGAUGAAGGUUCUCGGAUUGUAAACCCCUUUCGAUCGGAACGAAUCUCCUCCUGGUAAAUAAUCAGGAGGAUCGACGGUACCGGGAGAAGAAGCCACGGCUAACUCUGUGCCAGCCGCCGCAGUAACAC